UACGUAGGGUGCAAGCGUUGUCCGGAAUUAUUGGGCGUAAAGAGCGUGUAGGCGGCCCGAUUAGUCCGCUGUGAAAGUCCAGGGCUCAACCCUGGAAUGCCGGUGGAUACUGUCGGGCUAGAGUCCGGAAGGGGCGAGUGGAAUUCCUGGUGUAGCGGUGAAAUGCGCAGAUAUCAGGAGGAACACCAAUGGCGAAGGCAGCUCGCUGGGACGUGACUGACGCUGAGAUGCGAAAGUGUGGGGAGCAAACGGG
rnacentral:rRNA from 1 species